GACGAACGCUGACGGCGUGCCUAAUACAUGCAAGUAGAACGCUGAAGGAGGAGCUUGCUUCUCUGGAUGAGUUGCGAACGGGUGAGUAACGCGUAGGUAACCUGCCUGGUAGCGGGGGAUAACUAUUGGAAACGAUAGCUAAUACCGCAUAAUAGUAGAUGUUGCAUGACAUUUGCUUAAAAGGUGCAAUUGCAUCACUACCAGAUGGACCUGCGUUGUAUUAGCUAGUUGGUGGGGUAACGGCUCACCAAGGCGACGAUACAUAGCCGACCUGAGAGGGUGAUCGGCCACACUGGGACUGAGACACGGCCCAGACUCCUACGGGAGGCAGCAGUAGGGAAGCUUCGGCAAUGGACGGAAGUCUGACCGAGCAACGCCGCGUGAGUGAAGAAGGUUUUCGGAUCGUAAAGCUCUGUUGUAAGAGAAGAACGAGUGUGAGAGUGGAAAGUUCACACUGUGACGGUAUCUUACCAGAAAGGGACGGCUAACUACGUG
rnacentral:rRNA from 1 species